AACGAACGCUGGCGGUAGGCCUAACACAUGCAAGUCGAACGACACCACCGUAAGAACUUGCUCUUACGUGUGUCGCGCGUCGGACGGUUGCGUUAUACUCCGAAAUCUACUUUUUCGUGGGUGCUAACGUCGGGAAACUUACUCGAAUCCCACAUACAACCCACGGGUAAAAGCACGGGUUCUUCGGGCCUUUCGCUAUGGUAUAAGCCGAGGUCGGAUUCGCUCGUUGGCGGGUUAAAGGCCCACCAAGGCGACGAUGCGUCGCGGGUCUGACAGGAUGAUCAGCCACACGGGAUCAGAGACAGGGUCCAGACUCUUACGGGAGGACGCAGUGGGGAAUAUUGGACAAGGGGGGCAAGGCGGAUCCAGGCAUACGGCGGGAGUGAAGAAGGCCUUAGGGUUGUAAAGCCCUGUUGGUGGGAAAGAAAUGCAGCAGGUUAAUCCCGCGCUGUUCUGACGGUACCGAAAGAAUAAGCACCGGCUAACUUCGUG
rnacentral:rRNA from 1 species